rnacentral:miRNA from 1 species
AUACUGAUUCAUCAAUAGCAUUU